rnacentral:rRNA from 1 species
UACGGAGUGUGCAAGCGUUACUCGGAAUCACUGGGCAUAAAGGGCGCGUAGGCGGGUUUCCAAGUCGGUUGUGAAAUCCCUCAGCUCAACUGAGGAACUGCAUCCGAUACUGUUUAUCUUGAGGACGAGAGGGGGAGAGUGGAACUUCUGGUGGAGCGGUGAAAAUGCGUAGAUAUCAGAAGGAACGCCGGUGGCGAAAGCGACUCUCUGGCUCGUAUCUGACGCUGAAAGCGCGAAAAGCUUGGGGUAGCAAACGGG